rnacentral:lncRNA from 1 species
CAAACGCCCAACAAAACUGUCGACCUGGAUCCGUCCUUUUGAAAGCAAUGAAGCAUACCACAGGACAAAUAGCACAGUGUUACCAACGUAUAAUCGUAAAAUGAAAAGAGCAUUUAAAGGGCUGUGGAAUCAAAGGCCAGUGGCGGACAUGGGCCUCAUUCUCACUCGUCCAACUUCUCUUUCCAGCAAACCAUACCUUUUCUGCAAUUGUAGCUCAUCAUGUCAGAUGAAUGAAACUGAUUAAGGCAACUCUCUCCUGCCAACUUCACCAUAUUUGGAUGCAGCGUCUCAUCCUUCCAUCUCACCUGUCCAGGUGACGAUGUAAGAAGAGUUUAUCUACCUUUAUUCUUGAUUGCAGCAUAAAUGUAAGGUAAGCUGCUCCUUCUGUAGACAACCCACUUGUUGUGAGGCUUUGGCCCUCAUGCCGCUGUUCCUGCAAGCUUUUGCUCUAAGAAGAAAUCUUCGUGCUCAGAAAAAAAAUUUGUCAUAAAAAUGAUGCAUGCUUGGAAAGUGUGACUAUGACUUGGCAUUUUUUCCUUUAAAGUUACUCAUUCCAGAAGAAAACACAUCAUUAAAACUUGCCCUAAAUAUCAGAGGUUUUAUUUCAGCAAAAUAUUUUGGGAUUCAUGAAUGCAUCAAACUAGAUAACAAUUAAUUUCCAUCAAGAGAAGGACUAUAACGUAUUAGCCAAAGUGCUAGAAACCAAAAGAAGAUGACUAGAUAACAAUCAGCAAAACUACUCACAAACAAGUUGUUUACUUUUAUAAAGUUUCCAAAUACAAAGUCAAACUAAUUCAUUUUGUUGAUUCGAAUGACAGUUUCUCUGACAGAGUGAAAAAAAAAUCAAAUAUUUUUGCCUUUAAACAUUUUAUGUGUUGUCCAGAAGGUAACGAUAUAUCCCUUUAGCCUUAAAACAAGAUUAGAUUUUUAAACCAAAAAUAUGACUGGGGGAAUCAUAAAAAGCCAGGAGAAAUUUUUCAUAUGCACUUCGAAAAAUACUGCUCUUACCUGGAAUUUACCAGAAUUCCUAUCUUACCUUUGUCCUUGCAUCAAUGAAGCAUUUAAUCUUGUCUGAAUUCCUUCAACAAGACCAAUGCAAGUGAUAUUGACUAGCAAGAAUUGUUCUUUAGGAAUGUGAAACUUCGAUGUCAAGUCUUAGCCAUAACAUGUGCUCCCAUGCACAACUAGACAUCUAUUGCCAAGGGGAGAGAGUCUUCCUUUUGCUACAAUUGUUGCCCUUUUUCCAAGUUCAGAGCAAAGACCUUUUUGAGAAAAGUAGAUGAAAAAUCAGGUCCAGGAUAAAUUGCAAAUGCAGGCUGUUUUUGUAGAGUGAGCAUGCCUUUCUUUAAGAUAGAAAUCAACUUUAGAAUUAGAUUAAUUAAAAUUUAAAUUUAGAAUGUAAAAAUAAGAGUCAAAGAGGCUUUUUAAAUUUACUUAUAUCCAAAUUUUGCAGGAUAUAUUGCUGGAAUACGACCAAAGAGUUUAACAUAUUAAACUAGGUAAAAUCUGAAAAAUAUUUUUAGUACAACUAGUUUAUAUUUCCCAUGUAUUAAUGCCUCUCGUUUUCCUGCUUCCUGUCUCCUUUGCCUGAUUUUCACUUCCUUUUCUCUUUUUUUCUUCUAUCACUAACCUUAGCUUGGAAGAGUUUCCAUGAUUCAAUCUUCUUCCAAUUUCUUUGUUCUCUUUGGCAGGAUCAAAGCUGAAUAGCACUUUUUAGAUUUUACAACAAUUACCCCAUUUGAUUUUUAUAGCCAUCUUGUGACAUAGUCCCAAAAGAUAUUAUCUUCUAUUCUACACCUAUCUGAAAUGAUACACCUAUUAAAUGGCAAUGUAAAAUCUCACAAGGCUCUUCCAAUUUUCUUCACCCUCUCCAAAUAGACCUCUCUUUUUCAUCAAUGAGGCCCCAGCAGUUAGUAUAGUCCCUAGCAUAUAAUAGGUGCUCAGUAAAUACAUAUUGAAUAAAUGAAUGAAUGAAUGAUAGCUAUACUUCUAUUUCUAUGAGAACUUCCACUUUUCAAAGUGCUUUUAUAUAUAUGAACUCCUCUGAAAAACACGUUUCAUGAAUUAGAUCAGCUACUUUGGUUCUCCAUUUUACUGCUAAAGAAAGUGUGGCUCAGAAAAGUAAAAGAAAUGCAUUCAUAAAUAGCCAAAAGUCUUUUUUUUCAGGCCAGCUUAGUGCCUAAAAAAAUUAAUAUAAGUAGAAUUUUCAACCCCAUAUGAACCUGUGGGCUAUUCUUCACUACAAAGUUAAGGUUAUGAUAAGUGCUAGUUAUUUUCACUAUUCUGCAUAGUCUCAAUAGUGUGUGUGUGCAUAUGUGUGUGCACAAGUGACUUUAUGUAUAUAUGUAUAUACACAC